AAUGGCUGCAGUAAUAUAACUGUACAAAGGUAGCAUAAUCAUUAGUUUUUUAAUUAAAAGCUUGUAUGAAAGGUUGGACGAAGUAGAAUCUGUCUCUUUUUAAUAUGAUUAGAAUUUAAUUUUUAAGUAAAAAAGCUUAAAUUUAUAUAAAAGACGAGAAGACCCUAUAGAGUUUAAUAAUUUAUUUUAAAUAAUUAAUUUAGAUUUAUUUAUUUUAUUUAUUAUAUAAUUAUUUUAUUGGGGUAAUAAAAAGAUUAAUAUAAUUCUUUUUUUUAUAUAACAUUAAUAUAUGAAUUAAAUGAUCCAUUUUUUAUGAUUAAAAGAUUAAAUUACCUUAGGGAUAACAGCGUAAUUUUUUUAAAGAGUUCAUAUCGAUAAAAAAGUUUGCGACCUCGAUGUUGGAUUAAAGAUUAAUUUAGGUGUAGAAGUUUAAAUUUUUGGUCUGUUCGACCAUUAAAUCUUUACAUGAUCUGAGUUCAAACCGGUGUAAGCCAGGUUGGUUUCUAUCUUUAUAAAAUUUUUAUAUUUUAGUACGAAAGGACCAAAUAUUUAAUAUAUAAAUAUUUAAUUAUUUUGAAUAU
rnacentral:rRNA from 1 species